rnacentral:misc_RNA from 1 species
UGAAAUCCAAUAUAGUAAAGCUAAAUAAUCAAACACUAGAACUUUUGGGUAUCAAAUCCCUUUCCCAAUGCCAAAAGUAUUCCUAACAACUUACACAGAGAUGUUGAUAAUGAGAAUUACCUCAUAUGCAAAUGUCCUUGUUCAUGAACUUCUACUUUUCUCGGAUUCUCAUGUUACCUUAGGAAACAACCAUGUCUCUUGUGUAUCGUACACCAAACAAACGUAAGAAGAAAUCUAAAACCAAGCCUGCCUAUAUAAAACCUCAAAAAACAGUUCAAAUUCAUGGAAUUUAACAGAUUUUACCAAGCAUGCCUUAAAAGUAAGCCAAUUUCAGAAGAGGGUAGGGAGGGAAUGACCACAUUACCGUACCUGCUUGCAAGAGAGCCUCUGCUUUGGCACUUAUGAAGUGCGAAAAAUCGUAGCUUCUUCAUCAGCUGAGCUCUGCCGGACACUGCUCUUUAUGACCUCGCAUGACCAAAACAAGAAGCAAGAGAAUCUAGCUACUCAGUCAGAGACGCAGGGGAGAGAGAGAGAGAGAGA